GUGACAUAAUAAAAGUGAAAUAAUAACAAACAAAUAUGAAUCACUGAGUAGUAUAUAAGAGCUCAUUGUAUCAAUGAAGGGAAAAUAUUAAAUGUUGAGGACUGCAGUCAACAGCUGUCUCUAAUGUUUCUCCUUCUAGUAGAACGGCCAUGAUUAAUAGUCAAUAGAAAAAUACUUUUUUUUUAUAGAUAAUGGGGAGUUCGCUAAACGUUCUCUUGCUCUUCAUCUAUUUUGCUUCUUACAUAACAUCCAUCAUUCUUCGUUUCAUCGUUGCUGCGCAGAGUCAAGUACAUUCCUAAGGAACGGAUUUGCUCGAUAUCAAGAUCAUUGAGUGGAAUAGACAUGGUGUGUAUCUCUUGUAUCGUAGUUCCUGUCUGCCUCUACAUUUGGUAUAGGUUCCUACAACCUAUCAUGCUUAAAAUAUGGAAUCCUUGGGCAAGUGUCAAAAACAGUUCCUCUCCCACUGAUGAAAAACUGAAUCCUUCCUCCUGUCCAUUAUCCUCCUCCCCGACCAAAGAACCAGGGGAAAAUGGCGUGACAAUAGGCGAUAAGAAAACAGAUUAAGACUCUAAUUUAUUUUUAGCCUUAAUUCUAAUUUAUGUCAUCCUUGAAGAAAUGUACAUUAAUAUUUAGAAGUAACUUGUACAUAUUUUUAUCGCAUGGGAUAUUGCAUUUGUUUGGCAGGUCGCUAGUCUAUACUGUUUUGAGCUUCAUCCCUUGAAAGCCAUCACUUCCUUCUACUUAAUUGCUGUUAUUCAUAUUGUCUAUUAAAACCAUUUUUAAUUUUAAACUGCACUGAAAUUAUAAUCAUAAUUUGUUAUUUUGUUAUAUGUUUAUUUAUAAGCAGUUGAUUAUGUAAUUUUUAGGUCAAUGAAAUAAAUAUACUUUUAAUUAUAA
rnacentral:lncRNA from 1 species